UUCCGGUUGAUCCUGCCGGACCUUACUGCUAUCGGGGUGGGACUAAGCCAUGCAAGUUGCGCGCUUCUAAGCUAUGGUAGAGGAGCAGCGUAAGGCUCAGUAAAACAUGGUUAACUUGCCCUCGAGACGGGAAUACCCCCGGGAAACUGGGAAUAAAUCCCGAUAGGCGAGAUGGCUUGGAACGAUAUCUCGUCUAAAAAACGUUAAGACCAUGCUUCUUUUCGUUGCUUGAGGAUAGGACCAUGUCCGAUCAGGCUGUUGGCGAGGUAACGGCUCACCAAACCUAUAACCGGUACGGGCCGUGAGAGCGGGAGCCCGGAGAUGGAUCCUGAGACAAGGAUCCAGGUCCUACGGGGCGCAGCAGGCGCGAAAACUCCGCAAUGCGCGAAAGCGUGACGGGGUCACCCCGAGUGUAACCUGCUGAAGGUAACUUUUCCUCAGUCUAAUCAGCUGAAGGUAAUAAGGGGAGGGCAAGUCUGGUGUCAGCCGCCGCGGUAAUACCAGCUCCCCGAGUGGUAAGGACGAUUAUUGGGCCUAAAGCGUCCGUAGCUGGCUUGAUAAGUUUCCCGUUAAAUCCGACGAUCCAAUCGUCGGGCUGCGGGAAAUACUGUUAAGCUAGGAGGCGGGAGAGGCCGGUGGUACUUUUGGGGUAGGGGUGAAAUCCUAUAAUCCCGAGAGGACCACCAGUGGCGAAAGCGACCGGCCAGAACGCACUCGACGGUGAGGGACGAAAGCUGGGGGAGCAAACCGGAUUAGAUACCCGGGUAGUCCCAGCUGUAAACGAUGCAGCUAGUGUUGGCGCGGCUACGUGCCGCUCCAGUGCCGCAGGAAGUCGUUAAGCCUGCCGCCUGGGAAGUACGGCCGCAAGCUGAAACUUAAAGGAAUUGGCGGGGAGCACCACAGGCGUGAAGCUUGCGUUCAUUGGAUCACGCCG
rnacentral:rRNA from 1 species